ensembl:lncRNA
AACAACUUUUUAAAUAAUUCCAAAGAAAUCAAUAUAAAAUGACAUCCCCACAUAAGAAAUGAUAAAAUUUUAGAUUUACUCAUAAGCAAAAUACAUUUAGGAGAAAAUCUGUCAUCCGGUAAUCUUCAGGAUUGACAAACUAAGCAUCCCUUUAAAAAUGCUUUUUAAAAGUUUAUAUUAAUUAAAUGUAUUCAAGAGCAUUAUUUUAGUAAUGUGAUUAUACAGCUAUAAAAAUAUUAGUCAUCAUUAAAGAGAAUUUUCGUAGUUUUGACUAAGUUAGUUUUUCAACGAACGAUGCAUUGAUGAAUUGGCUUUUGAAAGGUUGACUUUCUUCUUUGUGUGGGAAAACCAGAGCCCACGAGGGCAGAAAAUAUGCAUGCUUAUCAUAGAACUGGGGAAGAACAACUGAGUACAAACCUAUUUACUUUCCUAGUGUAAUGUAUUGUCCAUGUUGCUUCUUACAGUGGUAAAAUAUGAGAAGAUAAUUUUUAGAUAACAGGAAUGAAUAAUUUCUAAAUUGGCAGCAGAGUCUAUGGAGACUUAAAGAGAAGUCGAGUCAAAUGAGAGAACAGAAACAGAACUCGUGGGUCAUCUGUCAGAUUUACUUACUUUAUAGAUUAGAAAUAAAUUAAUAAAUAUUAAUUUAAAUUUCGAAAGGGUGGCUCUUCCAAGGCCAAAUACUAAAUUUCUAUGGUCGGUUUCUCUCCCUUUAUCUCUCUCUCAUCCUCUGCCUCUACUUCAUCUAGGAUGUCAGGAUUCUCUUAGAGCUGACCUGAGUGGUAAAUAUUUGCUUAUCUUUCAUAUUUUGCCUAACAUCUAGGUUAAUGCUGCCAAUGUCAAGCUGGUUUUGGGGCGCCAGAUGUGUUCUCUUCCAAUAAAGUUUAGGAUGUUGCCAUAUAAAGCUGCUCUUUCUACACUGCCUGAUAUUUCAUCAUUAUCCUCCUCACUUCAAAAUCCGGGAAAGGGGUCUUAAGCUAUUGCUCAGCCUGGAGUACAGUGGCAACCAAUCCAGUUCAAGUGACACUCCUGCCUCAGCCUGCCAAGCAGCUGGGACUAUAGUGGAGCAGGAACUAUGCUAUGCUAUUAAAUUGGAGGGGAAGUCAGCCAAGAAGGAGGAAAGUUGACUACUCAAGUGGCCUGACUGCCAAGUGAUGCUAAGCCCAAAGAAGAGCUUCUGGACCAUCACAGAGAAAGCUAGUAUCUCACUCAGCUAUACCAGUUUGGAGCAUGUACAGAAGCAAGAUUCCUAAUUGGUAAAAUAACUAUUUGUGAAAUGCAACAACAUACAAUGUUUAUAUCCAACCUAUAUUCUUGGGAGAAGAAACUUGGACAUAAAGCAAUUAGGGAUUAUUUUGCUCAAAAUGCACUAAGGAAAAAAAAAAUGUAACUAUUCAGUAUUCAACUCCAGGAACAAACACUUAAUUCCCUCUACCUUUACUUUUUCCUCUCACCCAAUCUCAGCUCUAAUAAGAAGGGCUCAAACAAAAAUAAAUUAUGUAUUUAUUCCCAAACAUUGUGCUAACUGCAAAGAUGACAGGCAUAAAUAAUAUGCUAUGGCUCAAGAAUUUUGAAAAUGUACAAAAAUGUUUAUAGUACCCAAAUUCCAUAUACUCACUUUAUUCAAUUGCUUUCUUCCCAAAUUAAUUGAGAAUAAGUAAGAAUAAAGCAUAUGGUAAUUUACUAGCUUUAAUUUCUUAAAAGUUUAUGCAAGCCCAUUUUGAGUAUGGUCAAGUAUUUUAUUUUGUGGCAGAAGGACGAUAUUAGUUUUGGUAUAAAUAAUUAAAUCUGGUUGACUGCUCUAGGACCCAGGGAGGAAUAGCAUGAUAUAAUAGAAAAUGACUGAACUGGAAUCAGAAAACACUGCUUUUGUUCUAGAUAAGCCUCACAUUAGUUAAAUCUCUUCACAGAGUCUCAUUUCCUACAACUUUACAUUGGGGAAGAGGAAGACAUUAAAAACAUCUACUUUAAACAACAUGAACAGGAAAAAAUGAAGUAAUGUAUGUGAAUGUUUUUAUAAAAUGUCAGUGUUUUGAAAAAUUAAAAUACCACAUAGUAGGGUCGUCUUCUUCCCCACCUAAAAUCUAUGCUUUUCCUUUCCAGUUGGUUCUAAGAUACUGAUGAUGCUCAGUAAGAGACUAUCUUUCCUUAUCACCAUUGUAUCCAGGUGGAAACAUCUCUUCACCAAUGAAGAGUAAGCAGAAGUGAUGUCACUUCCAGAUCCAAGUAAUUAAUAAACGAUGCUUCCUUUUCUACUCACUUCUCCUCUUACUGGCUGGAUUCAAAAACCUUGUAAGACUUAGAUCAUGGUAAAGCCAUUCUCUGGACAGAGGUGCGGUCUACUUAGCAGUAAGAACUAUCUUAGAUUGUGUAAGGAAUAAGUAAAUUCUUGAGAGAUGUUUAUGUACUGUACUUAGAAUUACCUAAUUAGCAUAGUGUGUGGACUUUUGCUUUCAGAUAAGAGGAAGCAAAAUGGAACAGAUUUGCUCCCAACUGAAACAACCAAAGAUAUAAAAUUACAGUUUGCCAGACAUUGAACAUCAGUGAAGGAGAAUGAUCUUUAAGAAAGAAGGAAAAUAAUGAAGUGAACAUUAUGAUUGUCACAGUCUCCUGCCUUGAAAGAAUAUUCAGGUUGCAAAAGGAAAACUCAGAUAAAGUACAUUGGAGCAUUUGAGAUGAGAAAAUGAUGUUAAGAUUCUGGGGAAACUAAGACAACUGGAGUUCAUAAGGUGGAGAACCAGAAA